AGAGAGAGACAUGCGCGCAUAUCAAUAAGCGGAGGAAAAGAAACUAACAAGGAUUCCCUUAGUAACGGCGAGUGAAGCGGGGAGAGCUCAAAUUUGAAAUCUUCAAGGUUUUACCUUGACGAAUUGUAGUUUAAAGAAGUGUUUUCUGCUGAAGUUUUGGUAAAAGUUCUUUGGAAUAGGACAUCAUAGAGGGUGAGAAUCCCGUAUUUGACCAUUAUUUUCAGCUUUGUGAUACACUUUCAAAGAGUCGGAUUGUUUGGGAAUGCAGUCCAAAAUGGGUGGUAAAUUUCAUCUAAAGCUAAAUAUUGGCGAGAGACCGAUAGCGAACAAGUACCUGUGAGGGAAAGAUGAAAAGAACUUUGAAAGGAGAGUUAAACAGUACGUGAAAUUGUCAAAAGGGAAGCGUUUGACACCAGUGUUGUUUUCUCGAAAAUCGAUUAAAAAUGGCUCGAUUUUGUAUUGUUGAGACCUUAAAAGCUCACUGUACAUUUUUCGUGUCUUUUUUAAUGCACUUUUCGUCUAACAAGUCAACAUCAGUUUCUUUUGUUGUAAAAGGGUCAUUGGAAGGUGGCUUUCUUUUCGGAGAAAGUGUUUAUAGCCUUUGGCCUCUGCAAUCGAAGAGACUGAGGUCUGCAGCGUAGACUCUUCGGGGUUAGAUACAUUUGUGCUAAGUUAUAGCUUUUUAUAGACAACUUGUUGACUAUAAUUAGUCUUGUAGCUUACUCGCCUAUGCUAUUUUACCUACGCUUAGGAUGUUGAGUCGUAGAGCACGCAG
rnacentral:rRNA from 1 species